GAGCCUACGGGGCGCAGCAGUAGGGAAUCUUCCACAAUGGACGAAAGUCUGAUGGAGCAACGCCGCGUGAGUGAAGAAGGGUUUCGGCUCGUAAAGCUCUGUUGGUAGGGGAGAAAGAUAGAGGUAGGAACUGGCCUUUAUUUGACGGUAAUUACUUAGAAAGUCACGGCUAACUACGUGCCCGCAGCCGCGGUAAUACGUAGGUGGCCAGCGUUAUCCGGAUUUAUUGGG
rnacentral:rRNA from 1 species